AUUGAACGCUGGCGGCAGGCCUAACACAUGCAAGUCGAGCGGAGCGGCGGACGGGUGCGGAAUGCCUAGGACUCUGACUGGUAGUGGUGGAUAACGUCCGGUAACGGGCGCUAAUACCGCAUACUAUCAGAUGAGGCUAGGUCGGAUUAGCUAGUGGGUGGGGGAAAGGCCGAGCAAGGCGACGAUCCGUAACUGGUCUGAGAGGAUGAUCAGUCACACUGGAACUGAGUCACGGUCCAGACUCCUCCGGGAGGCAGCAGUGGGGAAUAUUGGACAAUGGGCGAAAGCCUGAUCCAGCCAUGCCGCGUGUGUGAAGAAGGUCUUCGGAUUGUAAAGCACUUUAAGUGGGGAGGCGUUACCCACAGAAUAAGCACCGGCUAACUUCGUGCCAGCCGCCGCGGUAAUUC
rnacentral:rRNA from 1 species